GUUUAUUCAGAAUUGUUUCAACCAAAUGAGCCCAAUGGAAGUGGUUCCUGUCUCCAUUUGUGGUAUUAUAACAAUACAUGGAAAUUAGACGACACUACAUGCAACUAUGCUCAAAAGUAUUUAUGUUCUGCUUAAGCUGAAAUCGCCGGAAAUGAAGGGUACCUCAUUCAUGAAAUCACUCCGCGAAUAUAUUACUGCAACCGCAUGCCUCGUAAAUAAAUCGUACGUGUAGUUUAGUUUCAUGUCUAAUGUAAAUUUAGUUUAUUAUUAGUGUUAUUGCAUGCUAUAAAACGUGUUGAAUUGCAGGACAAUAAAUAAUCUAAAGCA